rnacentral:rRNA from 1 species
UACGAGUGCCCCAAGCGUUAUCCGGAAUUAUUGGGCGUAAAGGAUGUGUAGGCGGUUCUGUUAGUCUUCUGUUAAAGCUCCCGGCUCAACCGGGAAGGUGCAGAGGAAACGGCAGAACUUGAGGAUGUGAGAGGUGUGCGGAACUCAUAGUGUAGGGGUGAAAUCCGAUUGAUAUUAUGGGGAACACCAAAAGCGAAGGCAGCACGACUGGCACAUUCCUGAC